AACUAUUUAUUCCGUAUAGUUCCUAGCAAUAAAACAUCCGAAUUAACGAUUAACUCCAUUAAAUAUGAUUUAAACAAUUUAAAUUUUAUAGCUAGAAACCAAAAUUUACUAUUCUAGUCAAAUUCAUCUCAUAUCAGUCAUUAAAAGUUUUUUAAUUUUUGAAUCACUCGAAGGCUAGGUAAAUUAUACAACAAAUUGUGAAAUGUGAAAUUUGAAAGCUAAAAAGUUCAAAUACUCUAGUUCAUAUUUAACGUGUUUUUCUUUUUACCCUCUGGCUUGCA
rnacentral:lncRNA from 1 species